rnacentral:rRNA from 1 species
AGAGUUUGAUCAUGGCUCAGAACGAACGCUGGCGGCAGGCCUAACACAUGCAAGUCGAGCGCCCGUAGCAAUACGGGAGUGGCGCACGGGUGAGUAACGCGUGGGAACCUGCCCAGUGGUGGGGGAUAACUGCGGGAAACUGCAGCUAAUACCGCAUGAGCCCGAGAGGGGAAAGAUUUAUCGCCAUUGGAGGGGCCCGCGUUCGAUUAGGUAGUUGGUGAGGUAACGGCUCACCAAGCCGACGAUCGAUAGCUGGUCUGAGAGGAUGAUCAGCCACACUGGGACUGAGAUACGGCCCAGACUCCUACGGGAGGCAGCAGUGGGGAAUAUUGGACAAUGGGGGCAACCCUGAUCCAGCAAUGCCGCGUGAGUGAUGAAGGCCUUCGGGUUGUAAAGCUCUUUUGGCGGGGACGAUGAUGACGGUACCCGCAGAAUAAGCCCCGGCUAACUACGUGCCAGCAGCCGCGGUAAUACGUAGGGUGCGAGCGUUAAUCGGAAUU